UACGUAGGGUGCGAGCGUUGUCCGGAAUUAUUGGGCGUAAAGGGCUCGUAGGCGGUUUGUCGCGUCGGGAGUGAAAACACACAGCUUAACUGUGUGCUUGCUUCCGAUACGGGCAGACUAGAGGUAUGCAGGGGAGAACGGAAUUCCUGGUGUAGCGGUGAAAUGCGCAGAUAUCAGGAGGAACACCGGUGGCGAAGGCGGUUCUCUGGGCAUUACCUGACGCUGAGGAGCGAAGGUGUGGGGAGCGAACAGG
rnacentral:rRNA from 1 species